GACGAACGCUGGCGGCGUGCUUAACACAUGCAAGUCGAACGGAAAGGCCCUGCUUUUGUGGGGUGCUCGAGUGGCGAACGGGUGAGUAACACGUGAGUAACCUGCCCUUGACUUUGGGAUAACUUCAGGAAACUGGGGCUAAUACCGGAUAGGAGCUCCUGCUGCAUGGUGGGGGUUGGAACGUUUCGGCGGUUGGGGAUGGACUCGCGGCUUAUCAGCUUGUUGGUGGAGUAGUGGCUUACCAAGGCUUUGACGGGUAGCCGGCCUGAGAGGGUGACCGGCCACAUGGGGACUGAGAUACGGCCCAGACUGCUACGGGAGGCAGCAGUGGGGAAUAUUGCACAAUGGGCGGAAGCCUGAUGAAGCAACGCCGCGUGCGGGAUGACGGCCUUCGGGUUGUAAACCGCUUUAGCCUGUGACGAAGCGUGAGUGACGGUAAUGGGUAAAGAAGCACCGGCUAACUACGUG
rnacentral:rRNA from 1 species